rnacentral:SRP_RNA from 1 species
AAAUACUUAACGCUAUUAGUUUAAUUAUCUGGUCAGAUCUGGAAAGAAGCAGCCAAAUUAAAUGAUAUAGGUGUUAUAGUAGCUAAC